ACUGCCCUCUCCGCUGACCGCGACCCACAACCAGGCUGUGCAGUGAAGUGCCACCUUGCCAACCCGACUCCCCUCCCCUUCGGCUGCAGGCUCCCGGCGGCGACUCCCCUCCCCUUCGGCUGCACCGCUGCAGGCGCCCGGCGUGCGGAGCUGUGCCGGCCGGCCGGCGGCGUGUGCUUAUCUCCUUCCCCGCGGCUGCAGUCGUGCGGAGCUCGGCUCCAUCAACGACCGAGGCCAGCGGCGCACGCGGCUGCCCAGCGAAAGGGCGCAGCAUCGCCAGCGCUACGCCAGGAGCAGGACAACCAGCGGCUCGCACCACAUCUCAGUCUCCACCGCGCUCCCUGCCACCACGCUAUGGUGCUCGCGCCGCUUGCCCAGCCCUCAGUAGUAGCCAUGGACGUACUGCGUCCCCUCUUACCCACCUUUGUCUAUUAAGAGCACAUAUGCACAGCAAGUGUUCGAUAUUUUGCCUCUAUAAGAUGAUUGCUCAGUUUGAACCUGAAACAUAUGCGCGGAUGAAUGAUAUUAUGUUCGUCACCAACUAAUGGAUAUGGACCAUUGCCACCAUGGCACUUGAUUGCCAUCUUCGACCAUGACCUAGGAAUAAUUGCAUUCCUAGAUGAAUCUUGGGAAUCAUGUAGGAUAUAAUUAUCAUUAUCUUAAAUGAUAGAUACAGUGUGUAUACUAUUUUGUCAACUCAUAAAUACUUCUAACCUCCAACUCUGGUAUCCAAAACUUUGGAUUGUUUAUUAUCUGGGUUAACCAUUUUACUAUUAGAAGUAUUGAGGGUAUGACACCUGAAAAUUAAUUGAACAAUGAUUAGUUUGAUAUUUUCAUCUCAACUGAACAAAGACUAAUUUGAUGUCCAGAUCGCUUGCAUCAGACAAUGCCGGCGAGCAUCGUCGUCAACUCCACCAAGGCAAGCUACAUCAGUCUCUUCUCUGCAGACGCUGAUGGCCUGCUGCUUGCAUUUGAGGUCUCUAGGAGACCUACCACCCUUUUACAGAGCUUCAUGCAAUCGUGCUGGACUACGCUUACAACAACAAAGGAUGGGCAAUUCCAAAGGACGGAGUUUCUUAGUACCUUCAGAGAAGCAAGAUCUUUGGAUGAAGUUCCUCAACAAGAAGAAGGAUGUACCUGAUUACCUUUCUAUAUGCAGUUUAUCAGACAAGAAUAAUGUUGUUACAUUUCAUGCCAUGCAACUUUUAUUCAAUUCUUCGUUUCAUGCCAUGCAACUUUUAUUCAAUUCUUCGAGAUAGAUUUAUGCAUAUCAUUUUUUGUUUGUAUGGCAUAUGAUAGAGAAAUAUAGAAAAGAAGCCAACUAAGAAAAUGUGAAACUUCUCUGCUGACAAAGUGCACCCAUAUUAGGAUCAAAUUCUGUCAUUCUACAAGAAAUUCGUGCCUGCAAAGCUAGCUGAAGAGACAGAGCAUAAGCCUAAGCAGAGGCUUGAUAGCUGCUGCUCUGCCUCGGCUUCCUCGACCAUGAUUUUGAGGUCACAGCUGCCAACUGAGCAACAUUAUGCUUCUACCCCUACGGUCCUACCUCUUUUUAUUUUAAUUUACAAAUUGAUUCUUCUCCUAUCAUUAUUGCUCUUUCGCCAUUAUUCUGAAUUGCUAUAUUGGCAUCUUCUAUAUACUAUUACUCUUUUCAUCAAUUUAGACAGUGGCAUCAAUAUUCAAUAGGCUGGCCCACUCCAAAGAAGGAGGCGGCCGCGUCAGUGUUUCUAGUCUUGUCUUAUCUUAUCUUAUAACACGAAAGCUGGGUCCAUUCUCUGGAUGGUGGAUUGGGCCACGUCGACCCGUUAACCAUUAACCGUUGGAUCCAUUGAACUCUCAUUUCUGACCUUUGGAUCGGGUGUAGCCCGUUAAGCUACGGACCUGAUAACCCUCGGACCGUCGAGAACUUGCUGGAGGCUUCAUCCCCUCCGCCUCGCAGGCCGCCGCCGCGCCCCGCGCAUGUGGCCCCGGCGUCGCGAGCCUCUCCCUUCGCCUUUCCCACCACCGUACCCCUCUCACGUUGUGUCGGGCCGAGUUCUGUCCCUGGCCUCUCGACCGCGGCCUGGCAAGAUGGAGCAACGAUGAGCAAGAGAUACCGAGGCGGGUGAAGGGGACAGACACCACGCCGCCUCCGCGCCAAGUAGAUCCAGAAGCAGGCCUCCAAUGCCACCGUCUCCGUCGCCGCGCUCGCCGCGGGCUUCUGCCACCUCCACCUCGACAGCACGCCGCCACCUAUAUAUACCUUCUCUCCUCGCUCCACCGCAAUUUCACCACCACGCUCUGCGCCAUCCUCCUCCUGCCAGCUAGACCAGCCUCCAUUCCAAGGACCUGAUCCACGCCUCGUGCAGCGCCAUCUCUAACAGUCUAACUCCAAUCGUCCCUCCCUGCGCCAAUCCGUCGGUCCGUCCCAAUCGCCCCUUCUUCCCACCAUCUCGCGCCUCCGCAGGGCACAUGCCCAUGCCACAAUCGGCGAGCUGGGCUCCGAUGUCCCCUCCUCACAGCACCCGCUCCACCGCUGGCGUGUAACCUUGGUUUCAAGAAUUUCCUCACAGCAGGCGAGGGGCCAGGCCGAGCGGGAGAGGAGAACACGGCUGGCGAUGCUGCGGAUGACGUCGGGUAGACGGGUCGUGCUUUGUGGCCCGAACCGGGUUACGGAGAUGGCCCUGUCCCUGCUGUCAUCGACGCUCGCUAGGCCAUGUAGGUGGCAGUCUGCCUUCGUGGUGCUACUCCCGUGUUCCGAGCAACCAUCAGGAAGCUAACUAAAGUUCAGCAUGUUAUCUCUUGGGACUGCUCUACCAGAAAUAGAAGGUUGCAGAGACAUAUUAAUGUUUUCUCCUGAAUACUAAUAUAACUUAUAGUAGAUCUGUAUUCAAGCAUUCAGAUUGAGGGUUUCAAGAAAGGGCAGAUCACUACAGACAUGGAUUCUUGCAGUUGAAACCCUUGUUGCUUCACUUCCCAUUCAGGGUUGUAGAUUGGAGAACAAACCUCUCCAUUAAGAUUUCUAGGAAUUAUUUUGAAAGCUUGCAGAUUUGAGAUUCAAAUUAUUCCUGCAUGAGUGAACCAGGUAGCUAUGUCCUCUAAAUACAAGAGCUUACCUUAUAUUUUGUUUAAAAACAACAUAUGAAACUGCAAGUGUUAUAUCCAAAAGUUCAACUUAAAAAUUCUUAUAUUUUAUUCUCAAUCUAUGUAUACAGUUGUGCACACCAUUAUACAUGCUGCCUUCCCAUUGUCAGACAAGAUACCAUGCAUCUCUGCUAUUGUUACUGGCCAAGAUGUGCUUAUUUAACUACUACUUCCCAUUCAGGGUUGUAGAUUGGAGAACAAACCUCUCCAUUAAGAUUUCUAGGAAUUAUUUUGAAAGCUUGCAGAUUUGAGAUGAUAGUACCUACACAUUCAAAUAAUUCCUGCAUGAGUGAACCAGGUAGCUAUGUCCUCUAAAUACAAGAGCUUACCUUAUAUUUUGUUUAAAAACAACAUAUGAAACUGCAAGUGUUAUAUCCAAAAGUUCAACUUAAAAAUUCUUAUAUUUUAUUCUCAAUCUAUGUAUACAGUUGUGCACACCAUUAUACAUGCUGGCUUCCAAUUGUCAGAUCCAUAAUUUGCACACCAUUAUGCAUCUCUGCUAUUGUUGCUGGCCAAUCCUCUCUAAGUUAUAACAACUUCUGAAUUCUAAUCACGUCCAAGAUCCAUAAUUUGCUCAGACACUGACAAAUCUUUCUAUCACUGACUCACUUAUUUUGUUUCAUGACCUUAUAUAAUCUCUAUUUUUUUCGUUUUGUUGUGUCAACAGCAGGCUGCAGGCAGUUGUCCCCAGCAUAGGCGUCCACCCAGUAGAACACAAUAGAAAAAAGGUUCUCUAUCAGUACCACAUUUCAGAAGUUGAUGUAUACACCGAAAUAACUCUGCAUUGAGGUUAUUUCUGUUAUUAAAAGUUUGUGCCAGCACCGUACAUCGUUAUUUUCGAAAAUAGAAUUGACCUUUGGCAUGAAAUAUUUCAUUAAUAGUUUUACCAGGGGACAUGCUUAGUCUAUGAGUCAUUUUAGAUUAUAGAACAAAGUUUUCAUCUCCACAUUCUUGUAUCCCUCCACAACCAUAUUUUAUCACUACCAAAAUGUGUAUACAAAUACAAUGGACCAAUGCAAUGACCAGAAAGCAA